rnacentral:misc_RNA from 1 species
GUGAAUCAUCAAAUUUUUGAACGCAAAUUGCGCUUCCUGGCAUCCCGGGAAGUAUGCCUGUUUGAGGGUCAGUAUUAAUAAAAAAUCGGUUUAGUUGCAAAUUGUGACGUUUCCGGAGUUUGGGCUAUUUUUACGUUUUUGGGUUAGAGGCUUAAAAUUGACCUUUUUUGCGCCUUUUUAAGAGGACAAAAAUUUUUUUUAUUAUUCGAUUAUUAAUACUGCAAUCUUAUUAGUUGAGGCCACCUCG